rnacentral:tRNA from 1 species
GGAGUGGCUGUAAGCUCGGUGGUAGAGUGUCUGCUUGCUGUGCAGAAGGGGUCCAGGUUCAAUCCUUGACAUCUCCA